rnacentral:rRNA from 1 species
UGGAUACUCCACACCACUUAGGGGAUGGCUUGGUUCAAGACGCCGAUGAAGGGCGUGACAAGCUGCGAAAAUCUUGGGCGAGGCGCAUGUAUCCCUAGAACCCAAGGUUCCUGAAUGAGAUUCUCUUGCAGGUAAAACCUGCAAAUUCGCAUUAGCGAAAGGGAACGCGGGGAAUUGAAGCAUCUUAUUACCCGCAGGAAAAGAAAUCAAUUGAGAUGUCGUUAUUAAAGGCGAUCGAACACGACAUAGGGCAAACUGAACGCCUGUAAGAAAUUACAGGUGAAUGUAGUGUAUGUCUUUUAUGUCCUAACCGGUGAAGUUGAAGUCCCCUGGAAAGGGGCACCGUAGAGGGUGAUAGUCCCGUAAACGUAAGCCGAAGGAUAUUGACAUACGAAGAGUAGCGUGCGUUGGAUAUCGCGCGUGAAGAUAGGAGGCAUCGACUUCUAACCCUAAAUACGUUUUGAAACCGAUAGUGUACUAGUACCGUGAGGGAAAGCUGAAAAGUACCCCUAGCAGGGGGUGAAAAGAGUCUGAAACUAAGUGGUUAUAGCCCGAUACGGCUUGAAAGGAUAGAGUCUCCCUGAAGGAAACCUCUGUGAGGAGGCAGUACGAAGGGAGAGGACCAGAGUCGUAUCAUCCGUUUUGAAGAACGGGGCGGGGAGUUUACGGUUAUGGCAAGGUUAAGGGGUUGAAACCCCGAAGCCGCAGUGAAAGCAACAGGUCUGCAACUUUUGUUAGAGACGGGAUGUUAAAAGCAUCUGGAGUCAUAGCCGUAAGAUCCGAAACCAGUCGAUCUAUCCCUGGACAGGGUGAAGUCGCGGGAAACCGCGGUGGAGGCCCGCUUCCGGUGUUGAUAUGCAAAUCACUCGGGUGAUCUAGGGAUAGGUGUGAAAGGCUAAUCAAGACUGGUGUCAGCUGAUUCCUCUCGAAAUGUCUCGCAGGACAGCCUGGCUGGAGAUAGAUGGCAGUGUAGAGCACUGAUUGAGUGUUUAGGCCCCGAAAGGGGUCGGCAUUCUGUCAAACUCCGAAUUUGCUAUCGUCGUAGAAGGCCAGAGUGAGGGUCAUGGGGGUAAGCUCCAUGUCCGAAAGGGGAAUAUCCCAGCCUGGGGUUAAGGUCCGCAAAUGCCAGCUAAGUAUUAAAUAAGAAAGGAGUUCUCGACCCCAAACAGUGGGAAGGUAGGCUUAGAAGCAGCCACCCUUUAAAGAGUUCGUAACAGAUCACCCACCGAGGUCGAGGGCCCUGAAAAUCGACAGGGUUAAGUUGGCUACCGAUACCCCAGAAAUCCGCAAGGAUAGUUAGUAGAGAGGCGUUCUGCUUGGGUCGAAGGAAGGCAGUAAUGUCUUCUGGACCGGGCAGGAUUGAGAAUCCCGCUAGUAGUAGCAGCAAAGAACAGUGAGAUUCUGUUCCGCCGAAGGGGCAAGGUUUCCUCAGCAAUGAUCUUCAGCUGAGGGUUAGUCGGUCCUAAGGGUAUUCGUAAUUCGACAUACUCGAAAGGGAAACAGGUUAAAAUUCCUGUACCACAGAGGUACGUGCGGUGACGCAAGUUCAUUUUUGACACCUCGAGGUAGGUCAAGUUGGAUAGCCUUCCAAUCUAAGCGUUGAAAUCUGGGGAGAAUCGUAAUGAUGAGAACCAGACGAAGGCGUGAAUGGGUUUCCGUAUGGAGACUUUGGCCGAUCCAUGGGGUCCGUGAAAAGAAAAUGAAAAGGAUCCUCUGUGUCCGUACUUAGAACCGACACUGGUGCCCCUAGGUUAGAAACCUAAGGCGUUUCGGAGCAAUUCAGUCAAGGGAACUCGGCAAAUUGGCCCUGUAUCUUCGGUAUAAAGGGUGCCAGCUCUGUGAAGAGCUGGUCUCAGUAUCAAGGGGGGUCCGACUGUUUAAUAAAAACAUAGGUAACUGCAAGCCCGUAAGGGUGUGUACAGUUGCUAACUCCUGCCCAGUGCCGGUAAGUUAAACCCCGGUUCAACGGGACUAAGCUCCGGUAAACGGCGGGGGUAACUAUAACCCUCUUAAGGUAGCGUAAUACCUUGUCGCUUAAUUGGCGACUUGCACGAAUGGAUGAACGAGACCCCCACUGUCCCUGACUGAAAUCCGGUGAACCUGUUGUGCUGGUGUACAGACCAGCGACUUCCAACGGGUAAAGAAGACCCCGUGGAGCUUUACUGCAGCUUGUCGCUGUGAUAAGGUUGUGAAUGUAGAGCGUAGGUAGGAGCUGUUAAUGCUUGGCCGCCAGGUCAAGUGGAGGCGACCCUGGAACACUACCCAUUUGCUGCUUUGUCACUUACUGCGUUUCGCAGGACACCGAUAGGUGGGCAGUUUGGCUGGGGCGGCACCCCCCUAAAAAAAUAUCAGGGGGGCUCCAUGGUUGGCUCAACCGGGUCAGAAAUCCGGUGUAGAGUGUAAGGGUAAAAGCCAGCCUUAUUGGAAUUCGCACAGAGAGAAUUCCAAUCGCGAAAGCGUGACCUAACGAACCUCCUUGUCCUCAUCGAUGGGGGCAGGAGAUGACAGAAAAGCUACCUCGGGGAUAACUGAGUUGUCGCGAGCAAGAGCUCAUAUCGACCUCGCGGCUUGCUACUUCGAUGUCGGCUCUUUCCAUCCUGGGUGUGCAGCAGCACCCAAGGGUGGGGUUGUUCGCCCAUUAAAGGGGAUCGUGAGCUGGCCGUCGUGAGACAGGUUAGUUUUUAACUGUUGGAAGUGUAGGUUGCCUGAAGGAAAGGACCAUCUAGUACGAGAGGAACGGUGGUUCGUGGCCUCUGGUCGAUCAGUUGUCUGGCAAGGCAUGCUGAGCAGCUACGCCAUACGUGGAUAAGAGCUGAAAGCAUCUAAGCACGAAACCACUCCUGAAAAUAGGCAACCAUUUCUUUCCGCCAACCAUUUUUUCUUGCAUCACUUUUUCUUUUUGAAAGAGUGUUGUAGGAGAAAAUGGGGAUACACGGGGCUGGCGACGGCAACGUGGGAAAGAACAAGGACACGGGUAAAAGACCCGAUUGAUAGAAC